rnacentral:rRNA from 1 species
AUUGAACGCUGGCGGCAGGCCUAACACAUGCAAGUCGAGCGGAUGAAGGGAGCUUGCUCCUGGAUUCAGCGGCGGACGGGUGAGUAAUGCCUAGGAAUCUGCCUGGUAGUGGGGGAUAACGUCCGGAAACGGGCGCUAAUACCGCAUACGUCCUGAGGGAGAAAGUGGGGGAUCUUCGGACCUCACGCUAUCAGAUGAGCCUAGGUCGGAUUAGCUAGUUGGUGGGGUAAAGGCCUACCAAGGCGACGAUCCGUAACUGGUCUGAGAGGAGGACCAGUCACACUGGAACUGAGACACGGUCCAGACUCCUACGGGAGGCAGCAGUGGGGAAUAUUGGACAAUGGGCGAAAGCCUGAUCCAGCCAUGCCGCGUGUGUGAAGAAGGUCUUCGGAUUGUAAAGCACUUUAAGUUGGGAGGAAGGGCAGUAAGUUAAUACCUUGCUGUUUUGACGUUACCAACAGAAUAAGCACCGGCUAACUUCGUG